AUCUAUAUAAGGACAUGUUGGCACACGGGCAUCAAGUUGCGCUUCAUUCAUGGUCGCAUCCUCCGAUAGAAGAACUUAAAACUGAUGCAGAAAUCGAUGAGGAUAUUAUUAAGAACAUCCAGAUAGUAAGAGAGCAGCUGGGAUUCGAAAGUCGAUACUUCCGUCCGCCAUAUGGCAUCCUUGGAGCACGCACUCGCCAGCGACUCGCUAGGCUCAUCAAAGACCCUC
rnacentral:sRNA from 1 species